rnacentral:rRNA from 1 species
UACGAAGGGUGCAAGCGUUACUCGGAAUUACUGGGCGUAAAGCGUGCGUAGGUGGUGAGUUAAGUCUGUCGUGAAAGCCCCGGGCUCAACCUGGGAAUGGCGAUGGAUACUGGCUCGCUAGAGUGCGGUAGAGGAGAGUGGAAUUCCCGGUGUAGCAGUGAAAUGCGUAGAUAUCGGGAGGAACACCUGUGGCGAAAGCGGCUCACUGGACCACAACUGACGCUGAGGCGCGAAAGCUAGGGGAGCAAACAGG